GACGUAGGGCGCGAGCGUUUGUCCGGAUUUAUUGGGCGUAAAGAGCUCGUAGGCGGCUUGUCGCGUCGACUGUGAAAUCCCGCGGCUCAACUGCGGGUCUGCAGUCGAUACGGGCAGGCGUAGAGUUCGGUAGGGGAGACUGGAAUUCCUGGUGUAGCGGUGAAAUGACGCAGAUAUCAGGAGGAACACCUGCGGUGUAGACGGCUUUCUGGAC
rnacentral:rRNA from 1 species